GGUAAGUAUGAAGGUGAAUAGGGUGUCGCAGGUGGUUGGAUAUAGUGAGACGGGAAUCCCCAAAAUGGCAUAGGCGGUGCCCCAUAAACCCUGACAGUAUUACCUUCUGUGUGUGGUUGGAAUGAUGGCUGGCCUAGAAACUGGUAUGUGAGUGUGUGGUCUCACGUAGGUCUUCUGACUGGGUAAGUCUGAGUGUCGUUGUUAGACUGUCUUCCUGUAUAGGUCGGGUAUAUUCUCCACGGUUGCUCUCUGGGCAUUGCUCGCUCAACAGGUGAGUAUUCUUCCUCUGAUUCUCUCUCCUCAGGUUGGUCCUCUGGUUUCGCUUGUUUUGUUUCUCUUACAGGUGCAUUGAUUCGGGUAGUUAUGAUUUCUCCGGAUGCUCUUCUACGGAUUGGAUAAAUCUGCAGUCCACUGGUAGGUUGGCUGUGCAGGUAAGUCAACAGGUAGGUCAUUAGCAAGGUGGAGCAGUUUUCCAUGUAGAGUGUGGAUCUUCAUGCCACCAGACUCUGAACUUACUUUGUACACAGGGUUGUCACACACUUGCUCUUUGACAACGUAAACGGUUCUCUCCCAGUAGGACUUUAGUUUUCCCGGACCACCUCUUUUGUUCAGGUUCUGGACAAGGAUUUGAUCACCGGAGGACGACACUUUUAAUCUGUCUGUACCUUCUCCCUCUUGCACUUGACUGCUUGCUGUUCUUGGAUGCUAUUCUGUAUGUUUCAGUCUUUCUCUCAGCAUUUGAGACAGCAGGUCAGCAAACAGCAGGUCUACUGGCAGGCGCGGAUGGCGACCGUAGAACAGAUACAAGGGUUGAUGGCCAUCUGUGGACUGGGAAUACACCCGAUGUCUUCAUCUCCACGUGCGAAGGCUGCAGACUCUUCGAACACCAUGUUCUUCAUCAGCUCUUGCUGUUCUUUCUCCGGGUGGCUCCAGCUGAUCUUUCUCCAGAGGUU